UGGCAGCGGAAGGGGAAGCAUCUCUACUUGGAGAUUGCCUCCUUUGGGAGUUUACUAGUGAGCCUGGUAUCUCCGGAAAGGGACAUCCUGAUUAUGGAGUAAAGUGCUGCUGCACCUGGGUCUGAACAAGCAAAACAGAUUGCUCUGGUGAGAGACAGCAGGAGGAAACCCAAGGCACAGAGGAGGAGAUGAGAAACUGAAAAUUGCUCCAGCGACCCAGGAAAAGAAGUCCUCCUGGCAUUCCAUGUGCCAGCCUGGGCUCCCUCCCUACUGUAUGGCUGCACUGCUCACAGAAAUAAUAAAGGCUAAAGGAGCAAGAGGAAAGAUCUGGGACCACGAACGCAUCUGCUGAGCCACGUAUCAUAUUCCAGUCUCAAUGCAAUUAUUUACAGGUGGAAAUUACAUCACUAUGAACAUACUUAUAUGAGACAUGAGAAACAAUUGGGGAAGUUGUCUGGAAUUAGCAUCCAAUACACUGAUGGAGCCCAACCGAUUUGGUUCAAAUCUGUGAAGUUUAAAGUGGUCUAUUUGAACAAAACUGACCAUUCGCAUAUGGAUCCACUAGCCAUCAUUCUACAGCAGUGAGUGACCAUUUUUUCAUUAUUAUUACUUUUUAAACAGAGCUGAACUGCUGUACUGUCCUCAGAAUCAGUGACACAUCAGUCAUUUGGCUGGCAUUUCAAUAAACAUCUGUUUUUCUCAGAGCAAACCACGACAGUCAUCUUUGUUAAGAUUUCCUGGCAUUCUAAUGUCAUCUCCAUGGUUAUUGCAGUCUGUUCCUGCAGAAACAAAACAAGUAUAAAACAAACCAGCCCCUCCAGAACUCAGAGUGAGAUGGAAAGACCUUGAGAGCUUUCAUCCCUCUCCAUUUGUACUUGCCACCUGGCCCUGGAAGCAGCUCAGCUCUCAUAAGCCUUCACUAGAGACUAGCCUUAUCUU